rnacentral:tRNA from 1 species
GCCGAAGUGGCGGAACUGGUAGACGCGCAUGGUUCAGGACCAUGUGGGCGCAAGCCCGUGGGAGUUCGAGUCUCCCCUUCGGCACCA